GGUUAGUAAGUGUGGAAGACAGGCUGAGGAUUGAAGGAUUAAACGACACCUCCUCUCCAUCUGGAACAACGGCUCCAUCAUGGGCUUCAUCAGUAGGAGAGGAGAGGGAGAAGGCUGUGCUUCCUGCUCAGGUUCAGUGAGAGCAGCAGAGAGGGAGCCAUCACCUUCACCUGGAUCCAACACUGCUGCUUUAAACUCUGCACGGCUCGCUGACAGAACCAUCCACAGUUUUCACACUCGGAUUUCUCCCAAAUCCUCCAUUUGUUGGGUCAUUGUAAAUCUUCUGAGACUGAGCUGUGUUUAUGGGAAGCUGUUUCUCACUCGUGCCGGCAAAAUUCAAUUAAUGGGCAGCCGUCCCUUUACUUUGAGCACGAUAUCUCAGUAAGGCCUCGAGGGAAUUUUAAUACAAAUUUAAUACAAAUAUUCAGUUGGACUCAAAGAUGAACUGAUUACAUGCAGGUGGUCAAAAGGCCAAAGGUCACCGUGACAGCACCAAACACAUUUACGGCCACAAUUCAAGAAUUCACAGUCUUAUUAACUGCAGCAGGACUGGUCGGUGGAGGCGUAUCGAUACUACGAUUGAUACUUUUCUGUUACUUGGUGGUUGUUAACAGAACCGCUCAUGUUUUCAUUAUUUAACUUUGAGUGAGCAACGUCUUGAGGAACGCACAGAAAACUGGAAACCGCAUCCUCUCUGCCUCUUCAUACUCAAACUGUAGAGUUGACUGUGUUCAGAGUUCCUGAAGCAGCAGUCAUUUGUUUUUCCUGCUCAGUCUGAUCUCUGUCUUCUCAGCUGUAAAUCUCGCCGUCUGUCUUUUGUUUUGUCUUUUUGUAUUUCUCUUCCUGCUCGGCCUCCAGACUAGCAAUCUGAUUGGAUUUGGAGAGUUUGACGUUCAGGUAGACGCCGCUUCAAUCUGUUCCCCUGCUAAACCGCUGCAGUUUAACUCAACUAUACUUUACUACACUAACAGCUGUGGCUCUCCCUCCUCCAACACAAGUGUUUGUUUUAUUUUUGACACUUAUUAAAGCUUGAAAUACAAACAGCAGUAGAGAAAAUAUUUGACAUGCAUGCAGAAUGAAUUUAGGACAAAUCUAAAGCGCCUCGGUCAUGUAUUGUAUUUCUUUACGUGUCUGUUGCAUGAAAUUCACUUGUUAACAUAAAAUUCAUGCAGAAAGAUCCCCUUCAUUCUUAGAACAAUACUCUGGAUUUACAUUAGAGCUGGAGUCACUUUACUUUGUGUCUUUGUACCUAACAACCUGUCCUUUUCUCUUCUUCUCAGAUGAGCGCAGACUUUCCUGACCAGAACUAAAGAUCAGCUCCUCAUCCUCUUGUUACCAGUGUACUCUUCAUGUCUUUGUUUAAUGCAGAGACUAAAGCCCCAUUUGGACGGGAUUAACUGUACGGGAGGAGGUGGAGAAUUAAAUCUUCACUGUGGUCUUCUGUAAUGUAACCUCCAUAACUCUGCUAAGAAGUCAGAAAAAAGACACUUGUGUUUGUGCAGAACUUGCUUUUGGAACUUGUUUGUAACUUUUCUUCAGUAUCACAGUGAUCCAGUGACAGCUGUCUGUACGCCCAUGGGUUCACUGCAGACAGGAGAUGAUCGCAGCUAAUUCUGCAUACUUAGAAUAAAAAUAUGUGAAUAAAUGUAUAUGCUGUGAUUACUGCAGGUAUGGGUGGGUGGGCCAGGUAUUGUUAAACUAGCCCACCUCCUCUAAAAAAGAUCCAGUCCAAAUGGAGCUGAAGUCGGGUUUAGACGGGAUCUGUCACUUUAUUUUUGUACAUACAUCUGUUUUUAUUAAGUCCAUAAUACUCCCUGCUGUAAAACAGUGAAAAUAAAGAAUAUGAUUCUGCGUGCCUCCUUAAAUUUGCCAUAAAAUCACAUUGAUCAUUUUUAAACUUUAUUCAAACGUUGACAGAAUAUUAUGACAACGUUUCACAAUAAGACAUGAAAACAACAACGUGUCAGAUUGACUAUCGAUCCGUUCCAAAUGACAGUCAAUACAGCGCAUGCUCGGAUUUCCUCGAGCCCCCUCCCACACACAAACACACAACAGGAUUUCUGACCGUAAAUACCCUAAUAAACACGUGUAACAUUUGUCAGAGCGGCCGGGGAGCGUAAAAUCAUUCUUAAUCCACCUGAAACCACAGGAAACUCCGGCAGGAUCACCGUUAGAGCCAUCAUAGCGCCACAUUAUUGUUCAAGGAUUUUUACUGAAGAUAUUCGCUUUCAGGGUCAAUAAAAUGAAUUAAACCCAUAUCCUACCUAACCUUACUGAUAGCAAUGUAAAGAUGAAACACUAGGGGGCGCAAACGAAAAGCAGAGUUUGACUAAGUUGAACAAACACCUGUCAGCGCCGUGACACCAGAGUGUUGUAUGGAGCGGGUUGAAGCAACAGAGAGGGAACAGGAAUAUUUCAUCAUAAAGAUCGUUUCUCAGCAGGUUUUCAUUCAAAUAAAACAUUCUGACCAUCACAACUGAAUCUGAUUUAAUCAUUCCAACCCUCACAUAACUUUUGUUGUGAUCUGGCGUUAUAUAAACUGAGAUUGUGGUUAGGGUUAGGGUUAGGGGUGCGGGGGUGCGGGGUGGGGGUUGCACGGGAGGGGGAAGAGGGAAGAGGGGUGGGGGGUUCUUUUAUUUUAUUUUUUAACUUUCAGGCUGUGGAGCAGGAGACGCUCAAAGAAAAGUUGGCCCAUAAACUCAUAGCAAUCAUUUUUAAUUGAGAACAGCUGCAGCUUUCUUCUGAUUUCUCUGAUGAUGUCAAGUCAAUAUUUAUUUAUACAGCGUCAAAUCAUAACAGACGUCAUCUCGAGGCGCUGUACACACAGAGCAGGUUUACACCGUGCUCUUUAUAUUAUAAUAUUUAUAAGGAGACCCAACAAUUCAAACCAUGAGCAAGCGUGGUGUGUUCAUGAAACGGUCAAAGACUUUAAAGUGGGGAUGAAGUCAGUCAGAGUAUUACAAGAAACACAGAGCCUUCGGCAGCUCAACACAAACUAAGGUGGAGAUCACCUGAAACCCCCCUCUGUUCUCUACUUGACUUGGUACAGUCCAGUCAGACACUUUGUCAGAUUUGAGCGACAACCUCCGAGUGUCGUUUGAAUCAAGAGAAAUACGUGACAAAGUGUUAAAUGCAACACAAAUAUAAAACAAACUGACUGUUCUGCAAACGUCUGUGGAUUUAUAUGUUGUCCGCAGCAGUUCACACAAUAAAACAUCGAUCUUAUAGUGAUUUAUUCACGGGACAUUUUGUUUGGGGGAAUCACACACGUGUCAGAAACGGGAUUCGAUUCCCAUGAGACCUGCACAGAGUGAGGUCCAGCCGCCCCCCUCCUCUCCCCAGUGCACUGCCCCCCUCCCCCCACGCUCUCGUCUAUAUAAGGCGCGCCGGAAACAGCGACUUCCUCUUUGACACCCGGCGCGCGCAGACGGAGCCAGCGAGAACUGCUGCACGUGGUACAAACAUUUGAAACGGGAGGUGAGGAGAUACACUCGUGUCUGCGCUGCUGUUUGUUUGGACCUUGUUAUUUAACCUUUGUUGCAUCCAUUCACAAGUGUAUCUCUGCACCUUUUGUUGCUGCUAG